GCAACCAACUAGCUCAGCUGGUUAGAGCAACGGCUGAUAACGACAAGUUUGCAGGUUCGAUUCCUGUGUGGGAUAGCUGCA